GGGGCUGACAGGUUUCGACAGCAGUUUCGUUGUUUGCACGUGCAACCCGAAUUGCUCAGAUUCGUUAAACGGGGCAAAAAACAGAAUUGCCAACGAGCAGUUCGCUCUCGCCGCCUAAUACUCGGUAGAGAGACAUCGUGAGCAGCAAUGCCGCACGGGGCCAGUCCAUCGCAGCCCGGCAACAGAAGCGGAGGAUGACGGCGAGAAAGACCGCUGACAAUGGGAAAGACUUUUGACUUGUGGGAAAGACCACACGCGGCUUGGGUAACCAAGUAGUCGACCCGUCGACAGUGUUGCGUUAGCGCUACAACGGGAAUGGUUGUAGCACUGGUAAAUAGCGCCUGAUGGACGGGGGUUCGAUUCCCCCCAGCUCCACCA
rnacentral:tmRNA from 1 species